rnacentral:rRNA from 1 species
GACGAACGCUGGCGGCGUGCUUAACACAUGCAAGUCGAACGGAAAGACCCUGCUUUUGUGGGGUGCUCGAGUGGCGAACGGGUGAGUAACACGUGAGUAACCUGCCCUUGACUUUGGGAUAACUUCAGGAAACUGGGGCUAAUACCGGAUAGGAGCUCCUGCUGCAUGGUGGGGGUUGGAAAGUUUCGGCGGCUGGGGAUGGACUCGCGGCUUAUCAGCUUGUUGGUGGGGUAGUGGCUUACCAAGGCUUUGACGGGUAGUCGGCCUGAGAGGGUGACCGGCCACAUUGGGACUGAGAUACGGCCCAGACUCCUACGGGAGGCAGCAGUGGGGAAUAUUGCACAAUGGGCGGAAGCCUGAUGCAGCAACGCCGCGUGCGGGAUGACGGCCUUCGGGUUGUAAACCGCUUUCGCCUGUGACGAAGCGUGAGUGGCGGUAAUGGGUAAAGAAGCACCGGCUAACUACGUG